AUUACAAGAGCACCUCCUCCCCCAACCCCAGGAGGCCCCGCUCCCCAGGCCUCGGCCGGCGCGGACCCCUGGUUGCCCCGGGGUCGAGAGCAGCCGGGGAGAGCUGAGUUCAGAGCCCAGAGUUGGACAUCAGGCCACACGCUGAGAGGGUAGUAAAUGAAAGGGAGUCCGGUUUAGUCGCGGGCAGGGCAUCUCCUCUUCUGCUUGUCUAAAAGUCGCUGGGUGCAGGGGAAGCAAUACUAAGCGGGAAUUUCUUUUUAGUGGCAUCUACACAAUUUGCCUUUCCUGGUUUUUGUUUUGUUUUGUUUUGUUUCCUAAGGAGGGGGAGGCUCUGUAGAGGAAGCUUCGGCCCUGGGUGCCCCUGGGUUGGGAGCAGUCGGGGAGCGCUGAGCCAGGGCGCACGCCCUGUCGGCGCUGCGGGUGUGGGGCGCAGGAGUCCUUCUGGCCGGCCCCUCCGCCCCCCGGGGAGGCUGGAGCUCUCCAAGGCCGGGGAGCCUCCCGAAGCGCGCUGCCCCCUCUGUUCUCCGCGUGCUUUCACUAGGGCCCCAUGCUGCUUAGUGGCCGAUUUGCAGGGAAUCUGGGCACAAUCUUAAUAACACCAGGGCCAAAAAUAACAACGUUCCUGGGAACCGAGCAGCUGGAGCGCACCCCAUGGACGCUGGGCCAUCUCCCCGGGGACUAGUGCCUGACAGAGCUGACAGAGUUCUAGGCCACAUGUGGGCUAGAAGGAACCGCCAUGUCUACCACAGCACAGUCCUUAAGCAGGAGCCUUUUGAAGCACUUGGACUCAAAACAAUGGCUGUUUGUUGUUGUUGUUGUUGUUGUUUGUUUGUUUUGAGGGAGCCAGAAAGCUAAAAAAUGUAAAAGAAGCAGGUCACAUUAGACAUGAUUUCAGACAGCCUCCCCGAAGGACAGAUGAUCUCACUUGGCAACACAUACUGGGCCAGGCUCACUCAUGAGGGGGCAGCGUGGCAUGCACCCCACUCAGGGGCAAGAAUGAAGCUUAAAUAUUAGCUGACUCAGAACAUAGCAAGUGCUCAGUAAUGGCUUCUGGAACGAACCCGUGGUUGUCACCAGCAGGAGUGACGAAAGCUAGAAGCCGUUUCACCAUCCAAGGAAGAGGAGGAACAAUAUUUUUCUCUUUGGAGUUCCCACACUCAGAAGAGAGAACACCAGCAUAUGAACACAGAGUGUCACAUGAUGUAGGAAACAUCCUGUAGGUAGAGAGUAUAAUUCCAAAGCUUAGGAUCCUGCUAGUUCCUUGUGCAGUGCUUCCGGUGGGCAACAUGGUGCCUCCCCAGUCCCUCAGGCUUGAGGCGGGCCAGCACAGCUUCUCUGGGAGCCAGGUCAUUUCAGAAUUUAACCCCAGAACUAGGUCACCCCAGGCAACACAAGGCUCCUCUCCCUUGGAUACAGGAAGCGGAGGAAAAGGCCAGGCAUGCUCAGGGGCAAACCAACACCCAGGUGAAAGGGAGCUGGGCUGGUUUCGGGGAGCAGCCUGGUUUCAGGGAGCCGGACUCACGAUGUGCUUGAGACCCUCAAAUUCACCCCUGGAAGCAGCUGCCCCCGUGACAAGGAACUAAGGACAGGCAUGUCAUGGACUGUGAAUUGGAGUGACAUUUGUCCCUCCCUUCACCAACAGACUGCCCCAAGAGCUUCCCAAGUUAUCUGCCAUAGAAUACCUUGUUUCCCUCGAGUCUCUGAAAGGGGGCCGCAAAAGCUGUCCCCACGCUGGAAAUGCAGGGCCAGGCUUUUAAAGUUUUGCUCCCGGAUUAUGAGAACACCUAGAAAAUUCAGUGCUCCUCUCCACUCCCCCAAACCCCUUCACAAGCCCCCACCCUUUGUUUAACAAACAUAUAUAUAGUGCUUUCCUGGUACCAGAUACUACUUUAAGCACUUGACAAAAUAUUUAGUCAUACAUAAAACCCUUAUAAUUACACUGUAAUUCACUCUCGUCAGAUCCAGUCAUUGUGAAGAAACGGAGGCACGGGGAGAUUAAGAGAGCUACUUAAGAAGACACGGUGCCAGGUUUCUACCCAAGCCAUUUGGAUCUAGGGUCUGGAGGCCAUGUGAGCCAUUUUGCAUUAGAUUAACGCUUUAAUUCAGUUCACAGUUAGACAAUAUACGUUCCCCAUCUAUAUCUAUACCCAUCUGGAAGGCAACAAAAAGAUAAUAAACUGAUAGUGUCAUGUGCCCAUGACCCAGCUAACAAAGAGGCUCUGGGUUCCAAUGCCCCAGUCUUUCAUGGGAUUCCAUCGACCUCAUGCCCUGCUCCCCUCCCCAACAGAGAUGGAAACAUUAUCCUGAAUUUUGUGUUUAUCAUCCCUUGUUUCUCUCUAUAGUUUUUCCACUUAUGGUUGUAUGAUUUUUGUUUGUUUGUUUUUUGAGACGGCAUCUCGCUCUGUCACCAGGCUGGAGUGCAGUGGCGUGAUCUCGGCUCUACCUCCCAGGUUCAAGCCAUCCUCCUGCCUCAUCCUCCCGAGUAGCUGGGACUACAGGCACACGCCACCAUGCCCAGCUAAUUUUUGUAUUUUUAGUAGAGACGGGGUUUCACCUUAUGGUUGUAUCUUUAAACAAUGUCUUGUUUAGUUUUGCCAUGUUUUUGGACUGUGAAUAAGUAGAAUUAUUAUGCUGUGUGAAUUCUUCUGCUACUUGCAUUUUUGCUGCAACGUCAUGUUCCUGAAAUUCAGCCAGGAUUCAUUUAUUCCUUUUCACUGCUGUGUGAUAUCCCAUUGUAGGCAAAUAGUACACAAUAUUUAUUUAUUUUCCAGAUGGGAUCUCAUUCUGUCACCCAGGCUUGUAGUGCAGUGACCCCAUCACGAUUCACUGCAGCCUUGAACUCCUGGGCUCAAGCAAUCCUCCUGCCUCAGCCUCCUGAGUUGCUAAGGCCACAAAUAUUUAUCCAUUUUACUGCUAAUGCAAUUUGAGCUGUUUUCAACUUUUUCCUAUUAAAACAUUAUUGCUAUGAACAUUCUUAUAAAA
rnacentral:lncRNA from 1 species